GACGAACGCUGGCGGCGUGGAUUAGGCAUGCAAGUCGAACGGUAUCAUCCUUUCGGGGGUGAGAGAGUGGCGAACUGGUGAGUAACACGUAGGUUAUCUACCCUCAAGACGGGGACAACCCAGGGAAACUUGGGCUAAUACCGGAUGUGAGCAACUUUUAGUUGUUUGAAAGGUGGCGUAAGCUGUCGCUUGGGGAUGAGCCUGCGUCCUAUUAGUUAGUUGGUGAGGUAACGGCUCACCUAGGCAAUGAUAGGUAGGCGGCCUUAACGGGUGGUCGCCCACACUGGGAUUGAGAUACGGCCCAGACUCCUACGGGAGCAGCAGUCGAGAAUAGUCUACAAUGGUCGGAAGACUGAUAGUGCGACGCCGCGUGAACGAUGAAUCCCUUCGGGGUUAAAGUUCUUUUAUAUGUGAGCAGUGCUUCUUAUAUUAACAGUAUGGGGAGAGAGAUAUUAGCAUAUGAAUAAGCAACGGCUAACUCCGUGCCAGCAGCCGCGGUAA
rnacentral:rRNA from 1 species